GAGGGCAUAGUUCAAGUGGUAGAGUGAGUGCUUAGCAUGCACAAGGUCCUGGGUUAAAUUCCCAGUACCUUCU
rfam:Camelus ferus unplaced genomic scaffold scaffold2763, whole genome shotgun sequence.